rnacentral:lncRNA from 1 species
UCAUUCAUUCAUUCACUCUUCCACUCAUUCCUCCAAGCCCAUCGCCCCUGGAGUGUGCCACCCUGGGCUGGGGGCUUGAUGUGGAUGAGGAAACCAGCCCCGGCCCAUUCUGUGGGACCCCAGUGCACCAAGCCAGUCAUGAAGUGGAGGCGAUGAGAGCCGUGACACAGGUCUGGACGGAGAGAGAGUGGGGCAAAGAGAAGGAAAGGACCAAUGACGGGGAAGCAGGGCGGGGAGCACGAAGGCAAUGGUGACCACAGCAAUCGCAGCGGUUAUCUUUGGAGCGCCUACCAGCUCCAGGCCCUGAGCUGACACUGGGGUGGUACCUAGUUAAGAGUUUGCCAGGUACAGGCCGGGGCCGGUGGCUCACACCUGUAAUCCCAGCACUUUGGGAGGCCGCGCGGGAGGAUUGCUUGAGUUCAGGAGUUUGAGACUCCCAGCCUGCGCAAUAUGGCGAAACCCCAUCUCUGAAAAAAUACAAAAAUUAGGCUGGACGCGUUGGCUAACGCCUGUAAUCCCAGCACUUUGGGAGGCCAAGGCAGGUGGAUCACUUGGUCAGGAGUUUGAGACCAGCCUGGCCAACAUGGUGAAACCCCGUCUCCACUAAAAAUACAAAAAUUAGCUGGGUGUGGUGGCGUGCACCUGUAGUCCCAGCUACUAGGGAGGCUGAGGCAGGAGAAUCACCUGAACCCGGGAAGCAAAGGUUGCAGUGAGC